rnacentral:rRNA from 1 species
UGAAUUCUUAAAGGGCCGCGGUAUUUCUGACCGUGCGAAGGUAGCAUAAUCAUUAGUCUUUUAAUUUGAGGCUCGUAUGAAUGGUCGGACGAGGGAUAAACUGUUUCCAGAUAAAAAUCUCGAAUUUAACUUUUGAGUGAAAAGGCUCAAAUGUUUCAAAAAGACGAUAAGACCCUAUAAAUCUUGACAUUAAGUUUUGUGUUAUUCUAGUUUAUUAGUGCAAAGAAACUCAUAAUAAAAAUGUUGUGUUGGGGCAACAAAGAUAUAACAAAAAUAACUGUCUUACCUUUUAAACAAAAAUCAUUGAACAAAUACAAUAGAUCCUUCUUAAAGAUUUAAAGAUUAAGUUACUUUAGGGAUAACAGCGUCAUUCUUUUUGAGAGUCCCCAUCGAAAAAAGAGUUUGCGACCUCGAUGUUGAAUUAGAAGAUCU